rnacentral:rRNA from 1 species
UACGAAGGGGGCUAGCGUUGCUCGGAAUCACUGGGCGUAAAGCGCACGUAGGCGGCUUCUUAAGUCAGGGGUGAAAUCCUGGAGCUCAACCCCGGAACUGCCUUUGAUACUGAGUAGCUUGAGUCCGGGAGAGGUGAGUGGAACUGCGAGUGUAGAGGUGAAAUUCGUAGAUAUUCGCAAGAACACCAGUGGCGAAGGCGGCUCACUGGCCCGGUACUGACGCUGAGGUGCGAAAGCGUGGGGAGCAAACAGG